rnacentral:rRNA from 5 species
AAACGACUCUCGGCAACGGAUAUCUCGGCUCUCGCAUCGAUGAAGAACGUAGCGAAAUGCGAUACUUGGUGUGAAUUGCAGAAUCCCGUGAACCAUCGAGUCUUUGAACGCAAGUUGCGCCCCAAGCCGUCAGGCCGAGGGCACGUCUGCCUGGGUGUCACGC